rnacentral:rRNA from 1 species
GUCGAGGGGUAGCGUAGCAAUACGUGAGACCGGCGCACGGGUGCGUAACGCGUAUGAGAGGUGUCCAAACCUCUGGGAUAGCCCCCGGAAACGGGGAUUAAUACCGGAUGGCCCGUAGUUGUGGCAUCACUUCUACGGUAAAGCUCAGGCGGGUUUGGGUCCUCAUGCGUACGAUUAGCUAGUUGGCGGGGUAACGGCCCACCAAGGCGACGAUCGUUAGGGGUCCUGAGAGGGAGAUCCCCCACACUGGUACUGAGACACGGGCCAGACUCCUACGGGAGGCAGCAGUAGGGAAUAUUGGGCAAUGGGCGCAAGCCUGACCCAGCCAUGCCGCGUGCAGGAAGAAGGCCCUCUGGGUUGUAAACUGCUUUUGGGAGGGGACAAAAAGCGGAUGCGUCCGUAAUUGAGUGUACCUCCAGAAUAAGCACCGGCUAACUCCGUGCCAGCAGCCGCGGUAAUACGGAGGGUGCAAGCGUUGUCCGGAUUUAUUGGGUUUAAAGGGUGCGUAGGCGGCCCGAUAAGUCGGGGGUGAAACCCACAAGCUUAACCUGUGGAGUGCCCUCGAUACUGUCGGGCUUGGGUUAUCUCUAGGCGGGCGGAAUGGAAGGUGUAGCGGUGAAAUGCAUAGAUAUCUACCAGAACGCCGAUAGCGAAGGCAGCUCGCUGGGGAUAUACCGACGCUGAGGCACGAUAGCG